rnacentral:rRNA from 1 species
UACGUAGGGUGCAAGCGUUAAUCGGAAUACUGGGCGUAAAGCGUGCGCAGGCGGUGAUGUAAGACAGAUGUGAAAUCCCCGGGCUCAACCUGGGAACUGCAUUUGUGACUGCAUCGCUGGAGUACGGCAGAGGGGGAUGGAAUUCCGCGUGUAGCAGUGAAAUGCGUAGAUAUGCGGAGGAACACCGAUGGCGAAGGCAAUCCCCUGG